rnacentral:lncRNA from 1 species
AAAAAGAUUUUUCUGAAUAUAAUCUUAAAAAUGUUUGUUUCUUUCCAUCUUCAUGUCACUACCAUGAAUGGUAAGAGUGGCAAGAAAGACAUGAAAGGUUAGCUAAGUUUGAAUGUACAAAAAAAUCUGAAUGUGUAGAAUGUGGAUAUAUUAAAAACUAUAACUUGUGUUAAAGUGUAGCAUGAAUCUUAUAUGUGGAAAAUGUCACUAUUUCUGAAACGGUCAUCUGUUUCUUUUUGUUUUGUUUUUUUGCAUGACCUAACCCUUUCCAUGCCACGGUUUGAGCCGUCACAAUGGCAAACAUGCCGUCACAAAGGUGAAUAUGGUAAGACAGAUCAUGUGACAACACGAAAAAAAAAAACUUUAUUAAUGUGUUAAACUGCAACAUGAAUCUUUUUUUUAUUCUAGAAAAUAACUGUAUUUCUGAAUAUGUUCAUCUGUUUCUUUCUUUGCAUGACUCUUUUCAACUAUAUGCCAUGGUUUGAGCCGUCAGUGGAAAACGGUAAGAACACCAGAAACAUGUACUAACUUGUGUUAAAGUGCAGCAUGAAUUUUUUAUUCUGAAAAAUCACUGUAUUUCUGAAUAUGUUCAUCUGUUUCUUUCUUUGCACGACUCUUUUCAACUAUAUGCCAUGGUUUGAGCCAUCACAAUUGUGAAAAAUGGUAAGAUAACAGCAAUACUGGAAUACAUUACAGGACUUUUUAAAAGAUUUAAAU